rnacentral:rRNA from 1 species
UACGAAGGGGGCUAGCGUUGUUCGGAUUUACUGGGCGUAAAGCGCACGUAGGCGGAUUGGUAAGUUAGGGGUGAAAUCCCGCAGCUCAACUGCGGAACUGCCUUUAAUACUGCCAAUCUAGAGACCGAGAGAGGUAAGUGGAACUCCUAGUGUAGAGGUGGAAUUCGUAGAUAUUAGGAAGAACACCAGUGGCGAAGGCGGCUUACUGGCUCGGAACUGACGCUGAGGUGCGAAAGCGUGGGGAGCAAACAGG